rnacentral:ncRNA from 1 species
AUAAAUGCUUAGAUCAGGAAAAGUAAAUUACAUGAAACAGACAGAGAAGAGUUCAAAUGCUGAAAGAACUCCAUGAUAGAAUGUAGUUGAAGUGCCCCUGUGAGCAGAUAACCGAAAUUUAGUAGGCUUAUCCGGGUUUCUCCCGUUAUAGAGAUAGGGUAUGCAAGUACCUGAGAAAGAUGGGCAUUUUUAUGUCUAAUUAGAGUGGAACCGCGGAAUUUAACCUUCUGCCUCUGAA